rnacentral:rRNA from 1 species
AACGAACGCUGGCGGCAUGCUAACACCUGCAAGUCGAACGAGACCUUCGUGUCUAGUGGCGAACGGGCGCGUAACGCGUGGGAACCUGGUCUUCGGUUUGGCAUUAUCCGCCGAAAGGCGUGUUAAUACCGGGUUUUGUCUUCGGUCCAAAGAUUUAUCGCCUUUAGUUGGGUUCGCGAUGUAUUUGCUAGUUGGUAAGGUAAAAGCAUAUCAGGUCGUCGAUCGAUAGCUGGUCUGGGAGGAUGAUCAGCCACACUGGGACUGAGAGACGGCCCAGACACCAACAGGAGGCAGCAGGUGAGAAUAUGAGACAAUGAGCGAGAGCCUAAGCCAACAAUGCCACGUGAUGGAUGAAUGCCUUAGGGUGGUAUAACUCUUUUACCCGGGAUGAAAAUGACAGUACCAGAAGAAUAAGCACCGGCUAACUCCGUG